rnacentral:rRNA from 1 species
CUGCCCAGUGACAUAGUUCAACGGCCGCGGUAUCCUAACCGUGCAAAGGUAGCAUAAUCACUUGCCUAUUAAUUGUAGGCUAGAAUGAACGGAUAAACGAAAUAAAAACUGUCUCAGUUAGUAUGCUAAAAACUACUCUCUAUAAGAAGAAUUAUAGAUAUAAUAGAAGGACAAGAAGACCCUAUAGAGCUUUAUUUAAAUAGAGGAUUAAGUCCUCUAAAAAAUUCGGUUGGGGCGACCAAGGAAUCAAAAAUCAUCCUUUAUACAAUAGAUCUAUAAAUCAAAUAAAUGACCCUAAUAAGAUCACAAAAAUAAGCUACCUUAGGGAUAACAGGCUAAUCCUGUUUAAGAGUUCAUAUCGACAACAGGGUUUGGCACCUCGAUGUUGGCUUAGGGAAUCAAUAUAGCGCAAAAGUUAUAUAAAGAUGGUUUGUUCAACCAAUAACACCCU